UACGUAGGGUGCAAGCGUUGUCCGGAAUUAUUGGGCGUAAAGAGCUCGUAGGCGGUUUGUCGCGUCUGCUGUGAAAACCCGAGGCUCAACCUCGGGCCUGCAGUGGGUACGGGCAGACUAGAGUGCGGUAGGGGAGAUUGGAAUUCCUGGUGUAGCGGUGGAAUGCGCAGAUAUCAGGAGGAACACCAGUGGGCGAAGGCGGAUCUCUGGGCCGUAAGUGACGCUGAGGAGCGAAAGCGUGGGGGAGCGAACAGG
rnacentral:rRNA from 1 species